CAGGUAUUCGCUGACUGGAGCAGAGGCAGCACCCUGGACUGGGGGCAGAUAUUGUUGGAGAGCUCGCUCACAUCACGACGGUGGCGACGGUAGACAACACGGCGGUUGGUCUUGUAACGGUAACCAUCAUCGGCCAACUCAUGGGCAGG